UUCGGCUAGGGGGCCAUCCCGGCUUACCAACCCGAUGCAAACUGCGAAUACCGGAGAAUGUUAUCACGGGAGACACACGGCGGGUGCUAACGUCCGUCGUGAAGAGGGAAACAACCCAGACCGCCAGCUAAGGUCCCAAAGUCAUGGUUAAGUGGGAAACGAUGUGGGAAGGCCCAGACAGCCAGGAUGUUGGCUUAGAAGCAGCCAUCAUUUAAAGAAAGCGUAAUAGCUCACUGGUCGAGUCGGCCUGCGCGGAAGAUGUAACGGGGCUAAACCAUGCACCGAAGCUGCGGCAGCGACACUCAGGUGUUGUUGGGUAGGGGAGCGUUCUGUAAGCCUGUGAAGGUGGCCUGUGAGGGUUGCUGGAGGUAUCAGAAGUGCGAAUGCUGACAUAAGUAACGAUAAAGCGGGUGAAAAGCCCGCUCGCCGGAAGACCAAGGGUUCCUGUCCAACGUUAAUCGGGGCAGGGUGAGUCGACCCCUAAGGCGAGGCCGAAAGGCGUAGUCGAUGGGAAACGGGUUAAUAUUCCCGUACUUGGUGUUACUGCGAAGGGGGGACGGAGAAGGCUAUGUUGGCCGGGCGACGGUUGUCCCGGUUUAAGCGUGUAGGUGUGUGUUCCAGGUAAAUCCGGUUCACUUUAACACUGAGGCGUGAUGACGAGGCACUACGGUGCUGAAGCAACAAAUGCCCUGCUUCCAGGAAAAGCCUCUAAGCAUCAGGUAACAUCAAAUCGUACCCCAAACCGACACAGGUGGUCAGGUAGAGAAUACCAAGGCGCUUGAGAGAACUCGGGUGAAGGAACUAGGCAAAAUGGUGCCGUAACUUCGGGAGAAGGCACGCUGACAUGUAGGUGAAGUGAUUUACUCAUGGAGCUGAAGUCAGUCGAAGAUACCAGCUGGCUGCAACUGUUUAUUAAAAACACAGCACUGUGCAAACACGAAAGUGGACGUAUACGGUGUGACGCCUGCCCGGUGCCGGAAGGUUAAUUGAUGGGGUCAGCGCAAGCGAAGCUCCUGAUCGAAGCCCCGGUAAACGGCGGCCGUAACUAUAACGGUCCUAAGGUAGCGAAAUUCCUUGUCGGGUAAGUUCCGACCUGCACGAAUGGCGUAAUGAUGGCCAGGCUGUCUCCACCCGAGACUCAGUGAACCCGUGAUCCGGGUUGCGGACAGUGUCUGGUGGGUAGUUUGACUGGGGCGGUCUCCUCCUAAAGAGUAACGGAGGAGCACGAAGGUUGGCUAAUCCUGGUCGGACAUCAGGAGGUUAGUGCAAUGGCAUAAGCCAGCUUGACUGCGAGCGUGACGGCGCGAGCAGGUGCGAAAGCAGGUCAUAGUGAUCCGGUGGUUCUGAAUGGAAGGGCCAUCGCUCAACGGAUAAAAGGUACUCCGGGGAUAACAGGCUGAUACCGCCCAAGAGUUCAUAUCGACGGCGGUGUUUGGCACCUCGAUGUCGGCUCAUCACAUCCUGGGGCUGAAGUAGGUCCCAAGGGUAUGGCUGUUCGCCAUUUAAAGUGGUACGCGAGCUGGGUUUAGAACGUCGUGAGACAGUUCGGUCCCUAUCUGCCGUGGGCGCUGGAGAACUGAGGGGGGCUGCUCCUAGUACGAGAGGACCGGAGUGGACGCAUCACUGGUGUUCGGGUUGUCAUGCCAAUGGCACUGCCCGGUAGCUAAAUGCGGAAGAGAUAAGUGCUGAAAGCAUCUAAGCACGAAACUUGCCCCGAGAUGAGUUCUCCCUGAGACUU
rnacentral:rRNA from 1 species